GUCACAUACAACACUUCUCAGUUAAACUUGAACUUGACAUGCACAUUAUCUAAUUGGUCUCAUAACAAUUUUCCAUUUUCCAUUUUCAAUUACCAUUUUUGAACACAGUGUAAUGAUGAGUAGAAAACCUAAUAGUAAAACAUAUUUGCAUUGUCCUGUUUAAAAACCUUAGACUUGAUCAGAGGACAAACAAGUUUGAAACAACAACAACAAAAAAGCAGAAUCUAAAGAAACGGGGCAUGAGAAAACAGGUUUAUGUAACAUCACCUACAGCCUAUAUAAUAAAAGAGAAAAUACAUGUCUGGCGCCUGCAUAUUUUGGAACGUAGCAGCAUAAUACUCUGUGCACUCACUGAAGUCAACCAAGCAAGCACCACAUCGACACUGAACAAGCCUGCAGAGGACACCAAAGCACAACCUGUGCUACACUGACACAUACAAAGAAAUAUGUAGUAACUGUAGAAGCCUAAUUUAGGUUCAAAGUAGCACCAUGGAAUUAACUAGUCACGCCUGAGACUGCCUGCAAGGAGUUACCAACUGAAAACCUAGAAGCAGCAGUACAAGUGGAGGAGAAGUGUCCUGGAAGAGGAAACCUGCACUCAAGGGAUAGAAGACGAAGCCCAGAAGAGUGGAACAAUAGGCUAAGCUUAGGACAGAUGGGCAAAAAAGCAUCAUUGAAUGACAAAGCUGAAAAGGAACUGGAUAUCAGGGAUCACAAACCCAAAUGCUUACAGGGGCUACCACACGGAUAUUGGACAAGAGGACUUAAGACUCUGAAAGGUAACAGCAGAAACAACUUCCUUCCACCCUGUGUGUGUCACUGUCUACAGCAGCAUGGAGAAGUCAGGCGAGUGUUUCCCAUAAAUUCAGUGGGAUUCUUAUGGUAACCGUGGGAAGAAGAGAGUGCAGGACUAAAAUAAAACACAUAUGGUCAUUUCUUUUCUUUUUUCAUUUUUUCUUGAUUUGAGAUAUUGUACUUUAUUCUAUGCAAAGAAUGCACUUGGUUUUAUAAAUGGUAAUAGAUUCAGUAUUCUAACACUCAUUUCUCACCUUGAAUAAAGAGACUGCAUUAACA
rnacentral:lncRNA from 1 species